rnacentral:lncRNA from 1 species
AUGGACGCCGCCCUUGGUGGUGGGGGGGGGAACCCCAGCCAAAGUUCAGUUUCUCCCGUUAUAGUCUCACAACACACGUGGGCUCGGUGAGGCCAAUAGACAGAUGAGGGGUUCGCCCUAGUUCUGCAGUGACGCAAGCCGCUCUCCUCCAGUUCACCGGUGAUGUGAUCUGCCUGGAGAUCCCACAGUUGGAGGCCGAGCCCCCAAGAAUGCCAGCUGCGAGCUGUGACUUGUGCUGCUGAACACCACCAUAUAAACUGACACUCCCAAAGUCCCACCGUGGGCGCACUUAGUGGAGACCCGUGCAGUUAGGUUCCAGGAUCCCGCCCAGUAUAUGAUGCAGGCCUGAGGGGAAGAAAAAGUAAAAAAAAAAAAAAAAAAAAAAAAAACCAUGAAAAGACAGAACUGAGAGAGAGAGCAGGGUGCCAGGACCACCAAUGCCGGUGCAACCGACAAAGGCUCUGGCCAGUCCCAGGCACUGACUUUUAUUGGCAGUCGAUUGGGGGAAUGGCAAGCUACGUGCAAGGGCAGGGCUACGUGCGGUUUUCCGUGUGGAAAUUAAAUAAGGCUGAUAAAGGACAAGACAAAGCAUUCUCAAAUUAGGAACAGAAUAGGCAAAAUAUAUGCUUCUAAUUAGAACGCUGUCCUGUAGAAGCCAUGUCACGUGGACUCCCAAAAUAUUGUCCGGUUCCGUCGGGAUGUAAACUACGGGAACAGUUAGCCUAUCCAAAAGUGAUUUCCCAACUGCUUCGAUUUCCGCCAGUUGCUCCUCCUCGUUAACAGCUUCAGGCUCUUCUGGGGAGUCUUGCAAACUCUUUUCGGCAUUUGAGUGAAAUGCAAUAGCCACUUCCAACCUAGGUACCCUUUCUUCAGAUGCUAUUGUAAACUGUUUCCACACUCUGUUCAGGCGAGGAGGGGUAUCCCCAGCGGACCUCGACGAGGUGCAGCGUGAAGACUGGCACCAGACAACUGUGGCCUGCAGCAACUGUCUACCAUAGUCAGAAGUACUCUGUGCAAC